GGAAGGGUAGCGAAGUGGUUAAACGCGGCGGACUGUAAAUCCGCUCCUUUGGGUUCGGGAGUUCGAAUCUCUCCCCUUCCA
rnacentral:tRNA from 1 species